GAGUUUGAUCCUGGCUCAGGAUGAACGCUAGCGGCAGGCUUAACACAUGCAAGUCGAGGGGCAGCACGAUGUAGCAAUACAUGGGUGGCGACCGGCGCACGGGUGCGUAACACGUAUGGAAUCUGCCCUUUACUGGGGGAUAGCCCGGAGAAAUCCGGAUUAAUACCCCAUAACAGGCGAGGUGGCAUCACCUUGCUUUGAAAGCUCCGGCGGUAAAGGAUGACCAUGCGCACGAUUAGCUAGUUGGUGAGGUAACGGCUCACCAAGGCUACGAUCGUUAGGGGGCCUGAGAGGGUUAUCCCCCACACUGGUACUGAGACACGGACCAGACUCCUACGGGAGGCAGCAGUGAGGAAUAUUGCACAAUGGAGGCAACUCUGACGCAGCCAUGCCGCGUGCAGGAAGAAGGCGCUACGCGUUGUAAACUGCUUUUAUCCGGGAAGAAACCCCUCGACGUGUCGAGGGUUGACGGUACCGGAGGAAUAAGCACCGGCUAACUUCGUGCCAGCAGCCGCGGUAAUACGAAGGGUGCAAGCGUUAUCCGGAUUCAUUGGGUUUAAAGGGUGCGUAGGCGGAGCGCUAAGUCAGUGGUGAAAUCCUGCAGCUUAACUGUAGACUUGCCAUUGAUACUGGCGUUCUUGAGUGCGCUUGAAGUAGGCGGAAUGUGCCGUGUAGCGGUGAAAUGCUUAGAUAUGGCACAGAACACCAAUUGCGAAGGCAGCUUACUAAGGCGAUACUGACGCUGAGGCACGAAAGCGUGGGGAGCGAACAGGAUUAGAUACCCUGGUAGUCCACGCCGU
rnacentral:rRNA from 1 species